GACGAACGCUGGCGGCGUGCUUAACACAUGCAAGUCGAACGGAAAGGCCCUGCUUGCAGGGUGCUCGAGUGGCGAACGGGUGAGUAACACGUGGGUGAUCUGCCCCUUACUUUGGGAUAAGCCUGGGAAACUGGGUCUAAUACUGGAUAGGACCAUGCUGUAGGUGGUGUGGUGGAGAGAUUAGUUUCGGUAAGGGAUGAGCUCGCGGCCUAUCAGCUUGUUGGUGGGGUAAUGGCCUACCAAGGCGUCGACGGGUAGCCGGCCUGAGAGGGUGGACGGCCACAUUGGGACUGAGAUACGGCCCAGACUCCUACGGGAGGCAGCAGUGGGGAAUAGUGUACAAUGGGCGCAAGCCUGAUGCAGCGACGCCGCGUGGGGGAUGACGGCCUUCGGGUUGUAAACUCCUUUCAGCCAUGACGAAGCCCUUGUGGUGACGGUAGUGGUAGAAGAAGCACCGGCUAACUACGUG
rnacentral:rRNA from 1 species